rnacentral:piRNA from 1 species
UGAAAUGUGGACCAAAGAAAGGUGACC